UGUGUUGACACAUUGCGCUCCACGUCUCCGACGGGUAUGUGAGAAAAGGGCUCACUUCCUGAACAUCGCUGCUGUGAGUUUUCUUUUGUGAAGUGAAAAUAUGAAGCGUGCAGCCUUUGCUUAUUAUUCAUUUCAAUACAUCAUGUGAUCCUGCUUUUCCAAGAACUGAGAAACCACAAACAAACACUCUUCAUGCUUGGAAGGGGCAGUGUGAGUGGUUUCAGUGUGUGAUGUCGUAUUGAUGUCUUAUUGUUGUUCAGAUAGAAUGAGCAAUCCCUGCUUUCCAUUUAGUCCUGUGUGCUAUGUUUUUAUGGUGUAUGAUGAGCACAACACACAUCUCACGGUGGAACCUUUCAAAGAGAAAGUUCAUUAUAUGGUGGAGAAUGUGAGGUUUGUGUUACAGUGCCGGGCAGUGAUUUCAUUCUUAAAAUGAAGCAGAUUUUAUAUACCUUGAUGUACUUUGUCAGGUAGGAUGUCACAUAAAAAAACAAUUCACCGGACAAUAAUUUUAGUCUCUCUUAACAAACUGUAGCCUAUUCCUGAUACCAUAUUACAAUUUACAUUAUUUAAAAAUGUAUACUUGAAUUGAAUUCAUUUAAUUCCCCACUUAAUAUGACCUCAACUCUGCUAAUUGUGUACCAACAUUUUCUUUUAACUGUCUUCUUAGUUGUUGUUCUUAAGAGGAAUAACUUCCCACUCAAGAGCCCAGUCUGCCUCUAGAAUCUUCCUGUUCAUUCCCACAUGUCCCUCACAGCUGGUAUAAUAUAAACAUCAUCUUCCUCACCCACUCGCUCCUUCUCACAAUGUUUCCUGCUAACCUAGACUUCUUUCACCGUCAGUGAAAGUUGAAAGCCAAUAAAGUCAGGGUGAAACAUGUGGCCGUUUGUGUUCACACGUGCAGACGACCCGGUCGUUUUGUGCAUUAGCGUAUAAGGUUAAAACACCACAGGAGUACUAAGAGAUCGUGCACACAGGGAAUGCAGCUACUGACCUGGGGAAGAA